GGACGAACGCUGGCGGCGUGCCUAACACAUGCAAGUCGAACGGAGUUAAGCCCUUCGGGACUUAACUUAGUGGCGAACGGGUGAGUAACGCGUGAGGAACCUGCCUUUCAGUGGGGGACAACAGUUGGAAACGACUGCUAAUACCGCAUGAUACUUUUUGGGGGCAUCCCUGAAAAGUCAAAGAUUUAUUGCUGAAAGAUGGCCUCGCGUCUGAUUAGCUAGUUGGUGGGGUAACGGCCCACCAAGUCGACGAUUGGUAGCCGGACUGAGAGGUUGAACGGCCACAUUGGGACUGAGACACGGCCCAGACUCCUACGGGAGGCAGCAGUGGGGGAUAUUGCACAAUGGGGGAAACCCUGAUGCAGCGAUGCCGCGUGAAUGAUGACGGUCUUCGGAUUGUAAAGUUCUGUCGUUAGGGACGAUAAUGACGGUACCUAACAAGAAAGCUCCGGCUAACUACGUG
rnacentral:rRNA from 1 species